ensembl:snoRNA SNORA70 Small nucleolar RNA SNORA70
GGGCAUGGGGCCAUGGCUCCGGAUGUGCUGUGGCUGCAAACAGCAGCCUCCUGGGUAGUGUGUGCAGCCUGUUGCUUGUAUAGGCUGUCCUAAGGGACCAUAGAGACAGCC